rnacentral:rRNA from 1 species
UACGUAGGGUGCGAGCGUUGUCCGGAAUUAUUGGGCGUAAAGGGCUCGUAGGCGGUUUGUCGCGUCGGGAGUGAAAACCUCGGGCUUAACUCGGGGCUUGCUUUCGAUACGGGCAGACUGGAGGUAUGCAGGGGAGAACGGAAUUCCUGGUGUAGCGGUGAAAUUCGUAGAUAUUGGGAGGAACACCGGUGGCGAAGGCGGCCAUCUGGGAGGGCACUGACGCUGAGACGCGAAAGCGUGGGGAGCAAACAGG